ensembl:snRNA U1 U1 spliceosomal RNA
AAACAAACUGUAGAGGCUAGACUAAUCAGAAGGCGUAACUGUCUAGAAUAACUGUAGACAACCUCUGCGAACUCCCCAAAUGUGGGAAUCUUGAUUGCAUAAUUUCUGGUAGUGGGGGACUGCGUUCGCGCUCUCCCCUG